AGUGAACGCUGGCGGUAGGCCUAACACAUGCAAGUCGAACGGCAGCACAGGAGAGCUUGCUCUCUGGGUGGCGAGUGGCGGACGGGUGAGGAAUACAUCGGAAUCUACUCUGUCGUGGGGGAUAACGUAGGGAAACUUACGCUAAUACCCCAUACGACCUACGGGUGAAAGCAGGGGACCUUCGGGCCUUGAGCGAUUGAAUGAGCCGAUGUCGGAUUAGCUGGUUGGCGGGGUAAAGGCCCACCAAGGCGACGAUCCGUAGCUGGUCUGAGAGGAUGAUCAGCCACACUGGAACUGAGACACGGUCCAGACUCCUACGGGAGGCAGCAGUGGGGAAUAUUGGACAAUGGGCGCAAGCCUGAUCCAGCCAUACCGCGUGGGUGAAGAAGGCCUUCGGGUUGUAAAGCCCUUUUGUUGGGAAAGAAAUCCAGCUGGCUAAUACCCGGUUGGGAUGACGGUACCCAAAGAAUAAGCACCGGCUAACUUCGUGCCAGCCGCCGCCGUAA
rnacentral:rRNA from 1 species